GACGAACGCUGGCGGCGUGCCUAACACAUGCAAGUCGAGCGGUUCAACGUUUAGCACUGAGCAUUCAUAAAGUAAAGUAGUUGAGCCAAAGCGUAAGCACUAAAGUGCUUCACGCGUUAAAAAAGCCAACACAGAUUAAGAUGGAUACAUGAUUGCUGAGUGCUGAACGUUGAAUAGCGGCGGACGGGUGAGUAACACGUGGGCAACCUACCUUUUACAGGGGGAUAACACCGGGAAACCGGUGCUAAUACCGCAUGAUAUGCAGAAAGGGCAUCCUAACUGCAUCAAAGGAGAAAUCCGGUAUAAGAUGGGCCCGCGUCCGAUUAGCUAGUUGGUGGGGUAACAGCUCACCAAGGCAACGAUCGGUAGCCGAACUGAGAGGUUGAUCGGCCACAUUGGGACUGAGACACGGCCCAGACUCCUACGGGAGGCAGCAGUGGGGAAUAUUGGGCAAUGGGGGAGACCCUGACCCAGCGACGCCGCGUGAGGGACGAAGGUUUC
rnacentral:rRNA from 1 species